ACAGGAGGACUGAGGUGUUUGAAUGGAGAGUAGGGGAGGAGUUCUUCCUUCUUUUUCUGAGUUUUCUCUGCCUGCAGAGAACACACAAUCGUCUCUGCUCUUCUGUGUAUCUGUCUAGCACCGCAGAUGAUGAGCCUGUCCUUCUGCCUGAAGAGAAGAUAAGGCCUGACUGUCUCUUCUGCGUUCUGCAUCUCUGAGUAUCUACUUCAAAACUAUAUGCAGGACUCAUUGGAUGCAUGAGAGAAUCUCGUUGCCCAAUAUUCUGAGAAAAUUUAGCAGAUAGUCAACUGUGGCCUAGCUCUGGCCUUUAUGGUGAUAACGUCAUAGAUGGUCAGCUGUCCUUCAUCAGCUAUCUGUAACCUCAUUAUUUAGCAGAUGGAUUAGUAGAGUCCUGUGGAAAGCAGAUAAUGAGACUGAGAUCUAUCUGAAAUGUGCCCUGCCUCUUUCUUUCACAAGCCUGUUGUAUAUGCAAGUCCCUCUGCCCGGGGUGCUGCCCUCCAUCUUUUCCACAUCAGAAAUACAGCAUGAUGCAGUUUGGUGUUUGCUGAUUUUC